rnacentral:rRNA from 1 species
CUUGCUUGGGGUACUCGAGUGGCGAACGGGUGAGUAAUACGUGGGUAACCUGCCCUCUUCUUUGGGAUAAGCCCCGGAAACGGGGUCUAAUACCGGAUAUUCUGCUUCUGCCGCAUGGUGGGGGUUGGAAAGGUUUUUCGGUGGGGGAUGGGCCCGCGGCCUAUCAGCUUGUUGGUGGGUGAUGGCCUACCAAGGCUUCGACGGGUAGCCGGCCUGAGAGGGUGACCGGCCACAUUGGGACUGAGAUACGGCCCAGACUCCUACGGGAGGCAGCAGUC